AUUGAACGCUGGCGGCAGGCUUAACACAUGCAAGUCGAGCGGAGAUGAGGUGCUUGCACCUUAUCUUAGCGGCGGACGGGUGAGUAAUGCUUAGGAAUCUGCCUAUUAGUGGGGGACAACAUUCCGAAAGGAAUGCUAAUACCGCAUACGUCCUACGGGAGAAAGCAGGGGAUCUUCGGACCUUGCGCUAAUAGAUGAGCCUAAGUCGGAUUAGCUAGUUGGUGGGGUAAAGGCCUACCAAGGCGACGAUCUGUAGCGGGUCUGAGAGGAUGAUCCGCCACACUGGGACUGAGCCACGGACCAGGCUCCUACGGGAGGCAGCAGUGGGGAAUAUUGGACAAUGGGGGGAACCCUGAUCCAGCCAUGCCGCGUGUGUGAAGAAGGCCUUAUGGUUGUAAAGCACUUUAAGCGAGGAGGAGGCUACUGAGACUAAUACUCUUGGAUAGUGGACGUUACUCGCAGAAUAAGCACCGGCUAACUCUGUGCCAGCCGCCGCCGUAACAC
rnacentral:rRNA from 1 species